rnacentral:rRNA from 1 species
GUCUUUUUGGAAAUAAUUUAAAGUCUAAUCUGCCCACUGAAUAUAAUUUAAAGGGCUGCAGUAUAUUGACUGUACAAAGGUAGCAUAAUCAGUAGUCUUUUAAUUGAAGACUUGUAUGAAUGAUUUGAUGAGAUAUAAACUGUCUCUUUAUUAAAAAUAAAAUUUAAUUUUUUAGUUAAAAAGCUAAAAUAUUUAUAAAAGACGAGAAGACCCUAUAGAGUUUUAUAUUUAUUGAUAUUUGAAUUUUAUAUAAAAUUUUAAAUUUAAAUAUUAAUAAAUAUUUUGUUGGGGUGAUAAAAAAAUUUAAGAAACUUUUUUUAAAAAAUAAACAUUAAUUUAUGUAUAUAUGAUCCAUUAAUUAUGAUUAUAAGAAUAAAUUACCUUAGGGAUAACAGCGUAAUUUUUUUUUUUAGUUCAAAUAAAAAUAAAAGUUUGCGACCUCGAUGUUGGAUUAAGAUAAAAUUUAAAUGCAAAAGUUUAAAAUUUUGAUCUGUUCGAUCAUUAAAAUCUUACA